rnacentral:rRNA from 1 species
UACGAAGGGGGCUAGCGUUGCUCGGAAUCACUGGGCGUAAAGGGUGCGUAGGCGGGUCUUUAAGUCCGGGGUGAAAUCCUGGAGCUCAACUCCAGAACUGCCUUUGAUACUGAGGAUCUUGAGUUCGGGAGAGGUGAGUGGAACUGCGAGUGUAGAGGUGAAAUUCGUAGAUAUUCGCAAGAACACCAGUGGCGAAGGCGGCUCACUGGCCCGAUACUGACGCUGAGGCACGAAAGCGUGGGGAUCAAACAGG